UCUCUGUUGCAGGUGUGUCCGGUGUGGGUGGUGCACGUGAUGGCCAAGGGCAGAGGUAGCAUGGGGCGACUGAUCAGAGGCGUGCAUGCGUGAGGGGAGGUGAAGCGGCGGCAGCUACAAAGCAUGAGGCUAGGGUUUUUUUGUUUGGUUGAAAACUAGUAUAGUUUGGGCCAUUCGGGCCUCUAAGGUUUUUAUCAUUAUUAGGCAUUUGGAUUGGGUUUGUUUUUUGGGUUAAUUUUGUUGUAAUGGUCUGUUAAUUUUUAUUAGUCUUGGUCCAUUUGGGUUUUAUGGUCUGGGCCUGGGCAAAAAUGGGCUUUUACAGCUGCCCCUCUUUGCUCAUUUUCGUGUAACGAGAAUAGAGCAAAGACAUCAAAAGGGCCAAUUUUGCCCGGCCUUGCCGAGUCUUGACUUUUUGGUGCUCAUCUUUUUUAAGUAGCCUUAUUCCAGCCUGCUACGUCUUGUUGCUUCGAUCCACUCUACUGCAACUUCAGAUACGCCUUGUAGCUUCAAUCUACUCUGCUACGACUCCAUGGGGAUGAGAUUUGUGUUUUUAGUGUGCUCCACUACUAUUUAGGGAGAUAAGACUGGAUGUGAUCUGCUCCACUACUACUUAGGGAGAUAAGACUGUAAUCUUCAAUCUAUUCCACUGCCAAAUACAGGGAGAUAGAGUUAUCAGCUUCAAUGUACUCCACUGUAGUUACAGGAAGGUAAAAUCUGCCAUCUUCGAUCUACUCCACCACUAGUAUGGGAAGACAAGAUCUGUAUCUUGGAUCCACUUCCUAUCAAUAUAGGAAGAUAGGACCUGCUAUCUUCGAUCUACUUCACGCCAAUACAUGAAGACAAGAUCUGCUUUCUGCGAUCUACUUCGCCACCAAUAUGGGAAGACAAGAUCUGCAUCUUCGACCCACUUCCUAUCAAUAUAGGAAGAUAGGACCUGCUAUCUUCGAUCUACCUCACGCCAAUACAUGAAGACAAGAUCUGCUUUCUGCGAUCUACUUCGCCACCAAUAUGGGAAGACAAGAUCUGCAUCUUGGAUCCACUUCCUAUCAAUAUAAGAAGAUAGGACCUGCUAUCUUCGAUCUACUUCACGCCAAUACAUGAAGACAAGAUCUGCUUUCUGCGAUCUACUUCGCCACCAAUAUGGGAAGACAAGAUCUGCGUCGUCGAUCCACUUCCAAUCAUUAUAGAAAGAUAGGACCUGUUAUCUUUGAUCUACUUCACGCCAAUACAUGAAGACAAGAUCUACUUUCUGCGAUCUACUUCGCCACCAAUAUGGGAAAACAAGAUCUGCAUCUUGGAUCCACUUCCUAUCAAUAUAGAAAGAUAGGACCUGCUACCUUCGAUCUACUUCACGCCAAUACAUGAAGACAAGAUUUGCUUUCUUCGAUCUACUUCGCCACCAAUAUGGGAAGACAAGAUCUGCAUCUUCGAUCCACUUCCUACCAAUAUAGGAAGAUAGGACCUGCUACUUUCGAUCUACUUCACGCCAAUACAUGAAGACAAGAUCUGCUUUCUUCGAUCUACUUCGCCACCAAUAUGGGAAGACAAGAUCUGCAUCUUCGAUCUACUUCGCCACCAAUAUGGGAAGACAAGAUCUGCAUCUUCGAUCCAUUUCCUACCAAUAUAGGAAAACCGGAUCAGCUAUCUUCGACCUACUUCACGCCAAUACAUGAAGACAAGAUCUGCUUUCUUCGAUCUACUUCGCCACCAAUAUGGGAAGACAAGAUCUGCAUCUUCGAUCUACUUCGCCACCAAUAUGGGAAGACAAUAUCUGCAUCUUCGAUCCACUUCCUACCAAUAUAGGAAAACCGGAUCAGCUAUCUUCGACCUACUUCACGUCAAUACAUGAAGACAAGAUCUACUUUCUUCGAUCUACUUCUUGUCCCGGGAGAUAGAACUAUCAGCUUCAAUGUACUCCACUGUGGUCAGGGAGGUAAAAUCUGCCAUCUUUUGAUCUGCUUCGCUGCCAAAUACAGGAAGGCAAGAUCUGCAAUCUUCAAUCUAUUCCACUGCCAAAUACAGGGAGAUAGAGUUAUCGGCUUCAAUGUACUCCACUGUAGUCACAUGGAGGUAAAAUCUGCCAUAUUUGAUCUUCAAUCUAUUCCACUGCCAAAUGCAGGGAGAUAGAGUUAUCGGCUUCAAUAUACUCCACUGUAAUCAGGGAGGUAAAAUCUGCCAUCUUUGAUCUGCUUCGCUGUCAAAUUCAGGAAGGCAAGAUCUGCAAUCUUCAAUCUGCUCUGCUACAAACGAGAGAGGCAAGGUUUGUCUUUGAUUUUUACUGAUCUGUUCUCUAGGGAACAUGACCUGUAUAAUGAACCUAAUUAUGCCUAAUGAUUAGGAUGGCAUGAUCAGAAUGGAUCAAAUGUUCCUAACUAGAUGUGCGUGAAUGACAUUUGAAUGAAUGCAGAAUGUCAUGAAAAUGAUUCCUUAAUGCUUAGGUUGUCAUUCCUCAUUGUUCAUCAAGGUUCUAUCACUGAUGCCUUCUUGUUCAGCCAGUACCUUUGAUAGAAAACCUAAAGAAAUAGACGCUAUUUAGACUAUCAUUUCUCAAAUGUUUCCAACCCUUAGGUUUGGUUAGUUCUAAACAAUAGUCUUGUUUCAGGUCCUCGUAUUAUUUAGAAACUUUCAGAGUAAUAUGCAGAACUCCUUCUGCCUGUGUAUUGUCAGUCCAUUAAUCGUUAUUUCAAUGAAAAAUGCUUGAAAAAGAUUAUCAAAAUGGACAAAAUGAAAUUUUGUUGAGAGCAAAGCUCUUAAACAAACAAAUCAAUCAAGAUAGCAAAUUUUGCUGAGAUACGAGAUGAAUAAGAUGAAAAAGAUUAUCACAAUGGAUAAGACGAAAAUUUGUUGAGAGCAAAGCUCUAAAUGAACAAAUUAAUCAAGAUAGCAAAUUUUGCUAAAGUACAGAACGAGGAUAAAUUAAUCAAGAUGAUGUAUUUUGUCAAAAAUACAAAAAAUGAAUAAAAUGGAAAUAGGUGCCCCAGAUAUCGUAGCAUGAGCUUCUCUGCCCCAAACUUCUUAAGGACCCUUUUGAACUUGAUAUGUGUUUAGAAGUCCUAGAAGGCUUUGUUGAUGCCCCAUCUUUGAUCGAAAACUACUUUAUGCCUCAUCUUUGAUCGAAAAUUUGAAUUGCCCAUUCCUGGGUUUUCAAUUCAAAACCCCUUUGGUCUCAAGGUGCCCUUUGCGGGUUUUCGCCUUGGCCUCUCCUUUUUUUUUUUAGGCAAAGUACCUCUUCACUGAAUCCGAAUUCACAGGAUUGGGCAAGCUUUUGCCAUCCAUCCCAGUUAAAAUUAAUGCCCCUCCUGAAAAGGCCUUUUUUACUACAUAAGGUCCCUCCCAGUUUGGCAUCCACUUUCCUCUGAAGUCUUUUUGUAUGGGAAGGAUCUUCUUCAGUACCAAAUCCCCUUCAUGGAAGUUUCUAGGACGAACUUUCUUAUUGUAAGCUCGCAUCAUUUGUUUCUGGUACAUUUGACCAUGACGGAUAGCUCUUAACCUCCUUUCUUCAAUCAAGUUCAGCUGAUCAUAUCGGGAUUGGACCCAUUCUGCUUCGUCUAACUUUAGUUCUGAAAAAACUCGGAGGGAGGGAAUUUUAACCUCAAUUGGUAGCACUGCCUCCAUUCCAUAAACCAAAGAGAAUGGUGUUGCCCCGGUAGAAGUCCUGACGGACGUUCGAUAAGCAUAGAGGGCGAAUGGCAACUUCUCGUGCCAAUCUCUAUAGGUCUCAGUCAUUUUCUCCACAAUCCUUUUGAUAUUUUUAUUGGCUGCCUCCACCGCACCAUUCAUCUUUGGACGGUAUGGUGAUGAGUUGUGGUGCUUGAUAUUGAAUUGACUACAAACCUCUACUAUCGUGCUAUUAUUCAAAUUUAAUGCGUUGUCAGAUAUAAUCCUUUCGGGCAUUCCAUACCGACAUAUGAUUUCCUUUUUUAAAAACCUGCUGACAGCUGCCUUUGUGACGUUCGCGUAAGAAGUAGCCUCUACCCACUUAGUAAAGUAGUCAAUCACUACAAAAAUGAAACGAUGUCCGUUUGAAGCCUUUGGCGAUAUCAGCCCAAUGACGUCCAUGCCCCACAUGGAGAAAGGCCAUGGGGAAGUCAUGACGUGAAGAGGUGAUGGAGGCACAUGGAUUUUGUCUCCGUAAAUCUGGCAUUUAUGGCACUUCUUAGCAUAUUUGAUGCAGUCUCCUUCCAUGGUAGACCAAUAAUAUCCAAAUCUCAUGAUUUGUCUGGCCAUUGUGAAACCGUUAGCGUGUGUUCCACAAAUACCAUCAUGGACUUCUUCCAAGAUCUGUUUGGCCUCCACAGCGUCCACACAUCUUAACAGCACCUGAUCUUUUCCUCCUUUGUACAGGAUCUCUCCAUCUAAGACGUAAUCACUGGCCAGCCUCCUCAACAUUCUCUUGUCAUUCUCAGUUGCUUGGUUUGGGUAUUCACGAUUUUUCACGUAUCGCAAUAUGUCCUGGUACCAAGGGUUGUCGUCCUUUUCUUCUUCCUUGUCAAUGUUACAACAGUGGGCUGGAGCAUCAUAAAUGCUCAUUUGGAUAGGUUUCACAUCCUCUGGUCUAUUUACUUUGAUCAUGGAAGCUAAUGUAGCUAAAGCGUCAGCCAUCUGAUUCUCGUCUCGUGGGAGGUAACAAAAAGUGAUGUCGUCAAACUCCUCAAUCAAUUCUAGGACUAUCAUUCGGAAACUAAUCAACUUAGGGUCUCUUGUUUCCCAUUCGCCUUUGAGCUGAUAAAUUACCAAUGCCGAAUCCCCACAUACCUCAAGUACCUUGAUUUUGCGUUCCAUAGCCGCACGGAUUCCCAUUAUACAUGCUUCAUAUUUCGCCAUGUUAUUUGCGUAAUCAAAAUCUAGUUUACUGGUGAAAGGAUAAUGAUCACCGUUUGGAGAUACCAAGACUGCCCCAAUCCCGUUGCCCAUGGCAUUUGAGGCUCCGUCAAAAUUUAAUUUCCAAGUAUUGCCUUCUUGUGUGCUUGCUUCAGUAGUUGCCACAUACAUCAGAUCCUCAUUUGGGAAAUCAAAGUUCAAAGGCUCAUAAUCGUCCAGGGUUCUACUUGCUAGAAAAUCUGCUAUCGCGCUCCCUUUUACAGCCUUUUGAUUCACAUAGGUUAUGUCAAAUUCAGAUAGUAGAAUUUGCCAUCGGGCCAUCCUUCCGUUUAGAGCAGUUGACUCCAUCAUGUAUUUCAGAAGGUCUAACUUUGAGAUUAACCAAGUCGUAUGGUACAACAUGUAUUGUUUCAAUCUCCGAGUAGUCCAAACCAAUGCGCAACAUAAUUUUUCAAUUGGCGAAUAUCUCGUUUCGUAUUCAGUGAACUUCUUACUGAGAUAAUAGAUCGCUCUUUCCUUUCGUCCUGACUCAUCAUGUUGGCCGAGCACGCACCCCAUAGAAUUCUCAAAUACUGCCAAGUAUAGUAUCAGUGGCUUGUCAGGGCAAGGUGGCAUCAGUACUGGGGCGUUGGACAAGUAAUGUUUAACUCUUUCGAAAGUUUUCUGGCACUCUUUAUCCCAUACACCUGGAUUGUGUUUCCUACGAAGACGGAAUAUGGGGUCACAUUUCUUAGUUAAUUGUGAAAUGAAUCGAGCGAUGUAAUUUAGUCUUCCUAGGAAACCCCGAACUUCUUUUUGAGUACUUGGCGGAGAUAAUUCUUGUAUGGCCUUAACUUUGUCUGGGUCAAUUUCAAUUCCUUUUUCGCUGACUAAGAAUCCUAGCAAUUUUCCUGAUCUAGCCCCGAAAGUACACUUGGCUGGGUUAAGUUUUAGCUGGAACUUCCUUAACCUUAGAAACAGUUUUCUCAGAACUUGCACGUGUUCCCCUUCUGUUCUGGAUUUUGCGAUCAUAUCAUCAACAUAAACUUCUAUCUCUUUAUGCAUCAUAUCAUGGAAUAAUGCUACCAUGGCUCUCUGAUACGUUGCUCCCGCAUUUUUCAAUCCAAAAGGCAUCACUUUAUAACAAAACGUCCCCCACAUCGUUAUGAAUGUGGUAUUCUCCCUGUCUUCAGAAAGCAUCUUAAUUUGGUUGUACCCGGAGAAACCAUCCAUGAAAGAGAACAGUGAGUAUCCGGCCGUGUUGUCUACCAAGGUAUCGAUAUGAGGCAGUGGGAAAUUAUCUUUUGGGCUGGCUUUGUUCAAGUCUCUGUAGUCCACACACAUUCGCACCUUCCCAUCUUUCUUAGGAACAGAGACUAUAUUGGCUACCCAUUCUGAGUACUUGACCACCUGUAAGAAACCAGCAUCAAAUUGCUUCUUAACUUCUUCCUUUAUUUUUAGCAAGACAUCAGGCCUCAUCCUUCGGAGCUUUUGUUGGACUGGUUUGCAUUCUUCUUUUAUAGGCAAUCGGUGUACCACGAUAUCAGUACUUAACCCUGGCAUAUCUUGGUAGGACCACGCGAAGACAUCUUUAAACUCUUGAAGCAACUCAACAAGGUCUUGCCUUGUUUCCUUGGCAAUGCAAGCGCCAAUUUUUACCUCUCUGCCCUCUUCUAAGAUCACAACUUCUACUGAUUCCUUAUAGGGUAGAAUUUGUUUUUCUUCUUCUUCCAUCAUUCUUAACAAAUCCGGAGAUAAAACGCUGUCUUGGUCACCUUCAAAAUCUUGAGGAUCAUCUAUACUCAUGUCUUGCUCAAAUAGGGACUCUGAAUUAGUAACAGAGUCACUCAUCUCGUUGAUAUCUGAAGACCUGUUAUUGGAACAAAUGGAGGCCCAAAUAAAAGGAUCUAAGAAUACUUGUAUGCAUAUUAUGAUUAUAAAGGGAAUGAAAAGAAUGAAAGAAUAUUUGCUCAAGAUGAAACUGAAUGAUAAGUUUUCACUGAAAUUAGAUUUUGGACAUGUGCCUUUUACAAAAGAUUCUUAUCACCCCCAGGCUUAGGGCAACACGUGUUCUGAAUAUUACUCUAGAUUAGCUCUAAAAAUACAGGGAUCUCUUCCACAGUCCCAUUGUUCAAAACACUCCUAAAUAUGCAAAAGUUUGGAGACUUUUAUUCCUCAGUUCCCUUUUCGGAUAUAUCAUUGAAAUUCCUCGAUAUUCCUUUCAGGCUUUUGACUUGUUCAAGGCAUUACAACUCUUUGCUCAUUAUCGUGUAACGUAAAGAUGCCUAGUCAUUUGACUUUUGUCGGUUUCCAAGUUAACUGGGAUAAUUUUACCUAAUUAGGGUCCUUUUAGGGAAAGUCUAAUGCAAAAUAAAGCAAUGCAAUGCAAAUGCAUGAAAUGAAUGCAAAAGAAAGGAAGGCGUUGAUUCUAAAUUUAAUUCUAUUAGAAUAAUUUUUCUAAAAAAUAGAUUUUUUUACAUGAAAAUAGUUUACAUAUGUGGUAUUGCCCUUCAUAGUCCAAGUAAACGCUGAUAUUUUCUUCAUGGUUAAACCCUGUAAAUUCUCCAAAAGAUGCAUUUGCUAGCUCCUUACUGCUUAAUCUGAGCCUCGAUCUCUUGCUCGCUUAUCUUCAAGAUACUCAUCAAAAAGUGCCAGCUCUUGGAUAAUCUUCGUUGGCAAUUAAAUCAAGUCAUGUAUUCCUUCGUGGACUUCCGGCUUUCUCUCGUCAUGCCUUCGUUGGCUUGAAUCUCUAGAAAUUACAUUAUGUAUUCCUCCGUGAACUACCAGCUUUCUCUCAUCGUGUUUACUCAGACUAUAUUCAGACGACCGCACUAUAAUCCACUUUAUCAAGAAAUUCGCUUCCUUAUGACAAACUAUUCUAUUUAGGAAUCGAAUUUCGAAUCAACACAUUCUUUUCUUUGAUGUAAUGCAAAUACAUGAAUGCAAAAAAAAAGGAAGACAUUGAUUCUGAAUUUAAUUUCAUUGGAACAACUUUUCUAGAAAACAAAUUCCUUUACAUAAAACGGACUACAUACACGGUCUUUCUCUCAUAUUCCAAGUGAAGACACCUUUCUUCCUCUUCAUAUCUGGAUCUUAUGGUCGAGUCUGACGAAUUCUCCAAGAGAUGUCUAUAUUAACUCCUUUUUUGCUUGAUCCAGGCUGCGACUCGUUGCUCACUUAUUUCUAUGAUACUUUUCAGCUCUUUUAAGAAAGUCAAGACAUGACAGCUCUCGAAUAAUCUUUGUUAGUUUCUGUCUUUAGGCAAUGAAGCAAAGUCUUGUAUUUCUUCACGGACUAUCAGCCUUCUUUCAUGUAUUCACUUGGACCAUAUUUAGACAACCGUGUUAUAAUCCACUUUAUCAAAAAAAAUUGUUUUCUUAUGACAAACUGUUCUAUUUAGCAAUCAAAUAUGAAUCAACACCUCCUUCCUAGGAUGAUGUAAUACAAUGCAAUUAUAAACAAAAAAAACAAAACACGUUAGUGCAGAAUAAAUAACAAAUAAAGCAAUUCGGGUGACCACUAGGGGUUUGGAGUGGCUCUACGUAGGGUAGGCUCCUAGGUCUCUCUAUAUGUGGUUUGGUUCUUGAGUAAGGGUACCUGAACCAACAGAUUCCUCGAUCCUCACCCAUUAUAGGCUCAUAUGGACCGAGUUCAGUUCAGGGGAAUACAUUUCCCUAUGGCCAUGCGGAGAUGAAAAUCUCACGAAGACAUAGGUACGGAUGUAUCCCGGAAGCGAUUCACUAUCCCAUGCGGAGGUGAAAACCUCACGAAGGCGUAGUUUCUCACUCCCACUAAAAAGGGUAUGACCAGCGGUCAUGCAAUGUAAUGUGCGAAGGUAUAAAAUAAAAUACAGAACACGAUAAAAAAUAUAACUCAGAACAAAAGAGAUGCAAUGAGAGGAUCGUAAAUUUAAAUCGAAUUUUCAACUUUCGACAAAAGACAAGAAAUAAUCAACACGUGGCUUGACUCUCUUAUUGUCCCCAGUGGAGUCGCCAAGCUGUUGACACCAUUUUUUUGUUAAAAAACGGGGUCGACUUGGAUUUUGAAAAAAAGAAUGAAAACGGGAGUCGCCACCAAUCCUUUUUUGAUGAGGUGUGAUCAGGUCACCUCAAAAAGUGGUUGUUUUUAAUAAAUGAUUUAAUUUUAUUAAAACAACGAUUUUGGUCUACGAAAUUUAGAAAAAUGAGUUCGGGAAUCGGUUACGCACGAGGAAGGAUUAGCACCCUCGACACGCCCAAAAUUGGUACCUUAGUUGAUUACAUAAUGUCUUAAUGUCGAAAAUUGAGAAUUUUGAAAAUUUUUAAAAAUUUUUACGAUCCUUAUAUUAAAACAUAAAAAAAAAUUCAGGAAAAGGGACAUAUUUCACGUUAUCUGAGAAAAAAAGAAUCAUAUCCAGUAAGUUAGGACACAAUGUCUCGAAUUCCCGAUAUCGUUUAAAACUCGAAUUUGAAAAGAUUCAUGUAAUAAAGUUUAAAAGAAUAUUCAAUUGUUUAAAUCAAAUAAAGAAAUCGCAACCCAAUACGUUAGGGCACAAUUUCUCAAAAUAUUAAACAUUGAAUAUUGCAUUUAUUUCGAAAAAUCCUUGUCUCGAGAAAGCAACGUGUCACAUCCAAUGCGUUAGGACACAACAUAUUAAAUUCUUGAUAACGAGCUUUUUAUCAUUUUUUUAAAGAGUAAUCUCGAUUAUUUAAAUUCAACGAAGAAAGUCGGAACCCAAUGCAUUAGGGCUCGAUUCUCUCGAAGAUCUAAAUAUCGAAUAUUACUUUUAUUUUAAAAUUUCAUUUUUGGCCAAUCCGAUUGAAAAGAUACGAUGUGACAACAAUGAUGAUAAUGUAAGUAAAAUAACACGAGCAAAACAUAAGAUAAAUAAAUAAUAAAACGAAGAAAACAAUCAAAAAGGCACAAUAACAAAUAAUAAACAAAUAAAAACUAAAACAUGAAUAACAAGCAUUUAAACAAAUAAAUAAAUGAACAAAAUGAUCCAAAAAAAAAUUAUGAAAAGUUAAAAGACAUAUAUAUAUGUACAAAAUUAUGAAAAUAUAAAAAAAAAACAUAUGUGUGUACACAUGAAUUAUAAACCAUAGAAAUAUCAUAAGAAAAUAUAAAUUUUUAAAAUAUAAGAGUAUGUAUAAAUACAUAUAUGCAUAUUUAUGAAAAAUAAAAGAGAUACAUGUAAGUACGUAUAUACAUAAAAAAUUUAAAAUGCAAAUAUAAAUAUAUUCAUGUAUAUAAGAAUAAUAAUAAAAGGCGUAUAUAUAUGCAUGUGAAUAUUAAGUAUGUACAUAUGAAUGUAUAUAAUAUAUAUAUAAACUAUAUAUAUAAAAAAAAUAUGGUAAUGAAAUAUAUACGCACUAUAUAUAUUUAAAACAUUUAGAAAUAAAAAUAUACACAUACAUUAUAAAGUACACAUGCGUGUAUGUAUGUAAGUAUAAUAAAAAAAUAAUAAUAGUAAUAAUAAUAAUAAUAAUAAUAACUAUAUUAAUAAAAUAAACUAAAAACUUAAAAUGAAAGAUUAUGGAUUAAAUUGAAAAUAAUUGAAGUUUCAGGGGCAAAUCUGAAACAAACAAAACACCAAUGAAUCGAAUGGAACAUGCAGUUAACAGUGGAGGACCGAAAGUCAAAUUAAUCCCUCCGUCCAAAACUCCACGCAGCAAUGGAUUAAAAUAAAACAAAUUCGACAUUUCAUGGCAAAAUUUGAAAACAAACCGCAAUGAUUUUGAACUGAUGGGAUAAAAUGAAGGAUUAAAACGCAAAUAACCCAUCAGUGUUUAAAACCCUUUUCAUCUCCAAUUAAAAGCCUACUCUGCAGCAGCAAUAGACGCAAAGUUGCUUCAUCUUCCUUUUUUCUUUUUUUGUUUUAAAACAACAGAGGGAAGAAAGAGGGAUCUGCUAGGCCUUCUUUAAAGCCCUAACUACCGCCACGCCACCGCCUUUCAAGCUUCGCCGCCGAUUCCGAUUCAGGUAAGUUUCGCCCUUUCCUUUUUUGCCUUUUCUUUUGCACCAAAAACAGAGAAGCAAAGAGAAAAAAAAAUAAAAUAAAUAAAACACAAAGAAAAUUACCUUCAAAAAUUGUUUUUGAUUCUUUGUUUGUAUUUCAGUAUUUUUCCAAUACAAUAUUUUUCUCUUUUUAGUACCCAAUCCCCCUUUUCUUUGUGAUCGAUUUUGGCUUUUUAAAACCGAUCUAUAAAACAUUCAUUUCCUAUUUUUUGUUUUCGUUCUUUUGUUUAUUCUUUUCCCCAUUCCUCGCAUGCUUCCUUUUGCUGUUGUUUUUGUCUCUGUUGCAGGUGUGUCCGGUGGGGGUGGUGCACGUGAUGGCCAAGGGCAGAGGUAGCAUGGGGCGACUGAUCAGAGGCGUGCAUGCGUGAGGGGAGGUGAAGCGGCGGCAGCUACAAAGCAUGAGGCUAGGGUUUUUUUGUUUGGUUGAAAACUAGUAUAGUUUGGGCCAUUCGGGCCUCUAAGGUUUUUAUCAUUAUUGGGCAUUUGGAUUGGGUCUGUUUUUUGGGUUAAUUUUGUUGUAAUGGUCUGUUAAUUUUUAUUAGUCUUGGUCCAUUUGGGUUUUAUGGUCUGGGCCCGGGCAAAAAUGGGCUUUUACACUAAAUAAUAAAAAAUGUUAUUUUGAAAACUUACAUUAAUCCUGAAAAUGUAAGAUUACUUAAACCCAACAGUAGCAUAAACUAAUACUGAUUGCAAUUCCGUUUACUCUUUGUUUGAUGGUUCUCCUAAGGCCUGUAGAA
rnacentral:lncRNA from 1 species